GACCACACCAACUUCUUAUACCGUCAGUGAGCACAGAACUUUAUCCAGAUAACAGCAAAAGACAGAGACAGCAUGUACCUCAGCUGGACCUCCCUUGAAUUCUUCUCUGAGCUGCCACUUCUUCCUAGUCCCCGGGCUGACCCCGGAGUCAAGCCAGAUGGGACUGAGAGAGAUGUCAAAUUUCCAGUAAGCUGACCACCGUCUGAAGAGCCACCCCACAGCCGUGAGUAUAUGGGCAGCACAGACUGGAAGCAAAGGCCUAUGGAAAAGGAAGAGGACAGCAAGGUGGGAGGGGUGGAGUGAGACUGAUCAGAGUAU